GAGGUGUUAGUAAAAUUUACAUAACUUUGUCAGAGUUAAGUUGCAGGUGAAAACCCCGUGCACCUCA
rnacentral:tRNA from 1 species